UCCAGACUCCUACGGGAGGCAGCAGUGGGGAAUAUUGCACAAUGGGGGAAACCCUGAUGCAGCGACGCCGCGUGAGUGAAGAAGUAAUUCGUUAUGUAAAGCUCUAUCAGCAGGGAAGAAAAUGACGGUACCUGAGUAAGAAGCCCCGGCUAACUACGUGCCAGCAGCCGCGGUAAUACGUAGGGGGCAAGCGUUAUCCGGAUUUACUGGGUGUAAAGGGGGCGCAGACGGCGAUGCAAGCCAGGAGUGAAAGCCCGGGGCCCAACCCCGGGACUGCUCUUGGAACUGCGUGGCUGGAGUGCAGGAGGGGCAGGCGGAAUUCCUGGUGUAGCGGUGAAAUGCGUAGAUAUCAGGAGGAACACCAGUGGCGAAGGCGGCCUGCUGGACAGAAACUGACGUUGGGGCUCGAAAGCGUUGGGAGCAAACAGGAUUAGAUACCCCGGUAA
rnacentral:rRNA from 1 species